CCUACGGGUGGCAGCAGUGAGGAAUAUUGGUCAAUGGACGAGAGUCUGAACCAGCCAAGUCGCGUGAAGGAUGACUGCCCUAUGGGUUGUAACCUUCUUUUAUCUGGGAAUAAAAUGUUCCACGUGUGGGAUUUUGUAUGUCCCAUCUGAAUAAGGAUCGGCUAACUCCGUGCCAGCAGCCGCGGUAAUACGGAGGAUCCGAGCGUUAUCCGGAUUUAUUGGGUUUAAAGGGUGCGGAGGUGGAUUGUUAAGUCAGUUGUGAAAGUUUGCGGCUCAACCGUAAAGUUGCAGUUGAGUCUGGCUGUCUUGAGUGCAGUAGAGGUAGGCGGAAGUCGUGGGGUAGCGGUGAAAUGCUUAGAGAUCACGAAGAACUCCGAUUGCGAAGGCAGCUUACUGGACUGUAACUGACGCUGAUGCUCGAAAGUGUGGGUAUCAAACAGGAGUAGAUACCCGAGUAGUC
rnacentral:rRNA from 1 species